rnacentral:lncRNA from 1 species
GAUAUUCUGAAGGCCUGAUCUCUCUAGUCACAUGAAGCCUCCACUAGGAGUAGACUAGAGCUCCAGCAGCCCUGAGGGCAUACCAGGCCUCGUCACCCCCGUCAGUCCAUCAGUCAACACGGCGCUCGCAUCACUCCUGUUGACCAGGUUUUCAGGUGAUCCUUCCCUCACUCUCUGUUUUCGCCUUCCUUUCACAAACAAGACUAAAGAAAAUACCUCCAAAUCCUUGUGUGCCUUGUUCAAGCUUUGAAUGAAACUCCCAGACGUAAAACGACUCACUAAACUGUCGCCAAGUGCUUAUAACAGCAUGGGGGAAAGAGGAGAAGAAGGAAGAAAACAACAAUCAGUUAGCGUGUCGUUUCAUCCUGUUGGCGCCCCAUCCUUUUAAAACAUGUUCAAGCAGAAUAACGUUCGCCGAUAACGAGGCUAUCGCGCUGCAGCAGAUGCUAGCCUGCCAAUAACGGGAUGUCUCCCCUGACAUGGCUUCACAAGCUGGGCUUAUUGACAUGGGGCUCUGGAGACGGGCUAGAGAAUCAGGACUGGCUGUCCACAACAACAAUGGCCUCCCAAAAGCCCCACAGUAAACACAUCCAAGAGCCUUUCAUCUCCAAGGUUACAACAAUAGCACAUCUACCACAGGAAGCAUCAACCAAAGUACAUCCACACAACAUUGUGAACAUAGACGUGGAAAGAAAUGCCUUGAAACCUAUAGGGUUUAAUGGGGGGAUUGAUUUGUUGAUAGCCCAGGCGGGUAUCAUGGCCAGCAGGUUGUACAGUUUAUGCAAAGGUCAUUACUACAACAGUGAACAUAGCGAUAUGUAACCUUGUCUGGUAAUGUUGAGGAGUUGAAGCCAC